AUUGAACGCUGGCGGCAGGCCUAACACAUGCAAGUCGAGCGGGGUUUUCGGACCUAGCGGCGGACGGGUGAGUAAUGCGUAGGAAGCUACCCGAUAGAGGGGGAUACCAGUUGGAAACGACUGUUAAUACCGCAUAAUGUCUACGGACCAAAGUGUGGGACCUUCGGGCCACAUGCUAUCGGAUGCGCCUACGUGGGAUUAGCUAGUUGGUGAGGUAAUGGCUCACCAAGGCGACGAUCCCUAGCUGGUUUGAGAGGGUGAUCAGCCACACGGGAGCUGAGACAAGGUCCAGACUCCGACGGGAGGCAGCAGUGGGGAAUAUUGGACAAUGGGCGCAAGCCUGAUCCAGCCAGGCCGCGUGUGUGAAGAAGGCCUUCGGGUUGUAAAGCACUUUCAGUGGGGAGGAAGCGUUGUGUGUUAAUAGUACACAGCGUUGACGUUACCUACAGAAGAAGCACCGGCUAACUCUGUGCCAGCCGCCGCAGUAAAAC
rnacentral:rRNA from 1 species